AUGUUACUGAUAAUGGAACACCCCAAGCAGUGUAUGAGCCUGUCAGAGUAUGCUAAAGGUAAAAGAUGGAGUCUGCCUGAAAGGCAGGCAAGCCAGAUCUUUCAGAAAAUUGUGAAGGCAAUGCAGCACUGCCAUGCUCGAGGAGUCUCUCAUAAUGAUUUGAAGCUUGACAAUAUCCUCAUAGAAUUGCCCACAGAGCAGAUAAAAGUCAUCGAUUUUGGGUAUGCUCUUUUCUUAGAACCAGAAGAGGGUACUCAUAGCACAGGUAAGUGGAGAACUCAUUAGGUGUAGAUUUGUUUCUGAAAGUAAACAUUUUGCAAAAUCAUAAACCAGACUCUCCUUGUCAUGUUUAGACUUCUAUGCUCCUGCUGGAUGCUUUUUGCAAGACAGGAGUCGUACAAUACCUUUAACUGUGAAGUUGUUAGGACAUGUGCUUUACAAGAUGCUCUGCGGUCCUCUCAGCUUUGGGCGAGAGCUGGAGAUUAUGUACAACAUAUUUACGUGUAGCAGAAAGCUCAGCAUGGAAUGCCAAGAGUUAAUUCACUGGUGUCUAAAACCUUGUCCUUCUGAUCGUCCCACUCUGGAAGAAAUCCUCAAGCAUCCUUUUAUACCCUUCAACCAACCCUAAGAUGAAAAUAGGUACAAUGGUUUCAAAUACUUCUGGUGGAGUUCUAUCUUGGACAAAAUGGAAUGAAUACAUUGACCUUCACUUGGCCUGACUUCAUAAGAUUUUUCAUGAGCACUUGGGUACUGACUUACAGCUUGAUGCUUGUUACCCUAU